UAGUAAACAAGGUCCUUUGGUUUCUUAGG
rnacentral:piRNA from 1 species